rnacentral:rRNA from 1 species
AGCGCAACCCCUGCUAUCUGUUGCCAGCAAGUGAUGUUGGGGACUCAGAUGGGAACUGCCGGUGACAAACCGGAGGAAGUGGGGACGACGUCAAGUCAUCAUGGCCCUUAUGUCCUGGGCUACACACGUGCUACAAUGGCCGGUACAGAGCGCAGCUAGGCCGCGAGGCGGAGCGAAUCGCGAAAAGCCGGUCUCAGUACGGAUUGGAGUCUGAAACCCGACUCCAUGAAGUUGGAAUCGCUAGUAAUCGCGCAUCAGCAUGGCGCGGUGAAUACGUUCCCGGGCCUU